rnacentral:misc_RNA from 1 species
GGCGGGGUGAGGUGGGAUGAGAAGCGAAGGGAGUUCAGUUAAGCAAGGGAGUUAACUCUCAAUGCUUCCUCUAUUUCCACACAACCUAGGUGGCUGUUAUCAGCUAAUGUUGUGGCGAUCCACUGGUAUUUCUGUCUAUAAAGAUCGAAAAGUCGGUCGAAUAUUAUUUUGACCAGGACCGACUUCUUUAUUUUCCAAGCCUUUAAUAUUUUCAUCCUAGGAUUAUGUAUUGCAACUGUGAUUCUAUACUGCGAUAACAUUCUAAUUGAAAGACUCCAUCCAACAAAAUGUCCAAAUCUGCGGAGUCUGUGAAGGUUGUUGUGAGGUGUCGCCCCAUUAAUGACAAAGAAAUCUCUGAUGGCCAUGAAAGAGUUGUUGACAUGUACCCCAACAGGGGAGUCAUUGAAAUCAGAAACCCAAAAUCUGUUCCUGGGGAUGUGCAUCGGACAUUCACAUUUGAUUCUGUCUAUGACUGGACUUCUAAGCAACGGGAUCUUUAUGAGGAAACAUUUCGUCCUCUUGUACAAUCUGUACUUGAAGGUUUUAAUGGAACAAUAUUUGCUUACGGUCAAACUGGCACUGGAAAGACAUUUACUAUGCAAGGUGUUAAAAACGACCCAGAUAUGCGUGGUGUUAUUCCAAAUUCUUUUGAGCAUAUUUUUCAACACAUUUCACGUUCUGAAAACCAACAGUAUUUAGUGAGAGCUUCAUAUCUCGAAAUAUAUCAGGAAGAAAUUCGAGAUUUACUGUCCAAAGAUCAGUCCAAGCGACUUGAACUAAAAGAACGACCUGAUACUGGUGUGUACGUCAAGGAUUUGUCUUCGUUUGUAACCAAAAGUGCAAAGGAAAUUGAACAUGUGAUGAAUGUUGGUAACCAGAAUCGUGCUGUUGGCGCGACAAACAUGAAUGAGCACAGUUCCCGGUCACAUGCCAUUUUUAUUAUCACUAUAGAAUGCAGUGAGAUGGGUGUUGAUGGUGAGAAUCAUAUUCGUGUUGGUAAACUGAAUCUGGUCGACUUAGCUGGUAGUGAGCGACAAACUAAAACUGGUUCUACGGGAGAACGUUUAAAAGAAGCUACAAAAAUCAAUCUGUCUUUGUCUGCACUUGGUAAUGUUAUAUCAGCUCUCGUUGAUGGCAAAAGCUCCCAUAUUCCAUACCGAGAUUCCAAGCUGACACGACUUUUACAAGAUUCUCUGGGAGGAAAUGCUCGCACUGUCAUGGUUGCAAAUAUUGGCCCAGCCAGCUAUAAUUACGAUGAAUCCAUUACAACACUGAGAUAUGCAAACAGGGCCAAAAACAUCAAGAACAAACCGAAGAUUAAUGAGGAUCCUAAAGAUGCUUUGUUACGUGAAUUCCAAGAGGAAAUUGCAAGGUUAAAAGCCCACCUAGCUGCACGAGGAACUCAUGGCAAAAAGAAGUCCAAAAAACGACUGGACAGUGGCGAGGUAAUGACAGAUGACGAGGAGGAAGAGGAAGUAGAAGGUGACAACAAUGUGGAUGCUGAAGCAUAUAUGCAGGAACAACAACAACGGCUUGAAGAGGAGAAAAAGGCCAUUUUGGGGGACCAAUCUUUAAUAGCUGAGGAAAAAGAAAAGCUGUUGUCUGAACUAAAGGAGAAUGAAUCUCGCUUAUUGAAAGAAAAGGAAGCUAGAGAUAUGUUGGCAUCUAAAAUCAAGGCAAUGGAGAGCAAGUUACUGAUGGGUGGCAAAAACAUUGUUGACCACACUAAUGAACAACAGAGAGCCUUAGAGCAACGAAGGUCAGAAAUUGCUGACCAGAAGCGUAAAGAAAGAGAGAUGCAACAAAAAUUGGAUCAAAAAGAAGAAACAGCUCUGGAAUUACAGGAGACCUAUGCAUCCCUGCAACAAGAGGUUGAAGUAAAAACAAAGAAAUUAAAAAAACUGUUUUCCAAGUUACAAUCCACAAAGCAGGAAAUCCAAGACCUACAGGAAGAACAUGUUAAGGAGAGACAGGAACUGGAGCAGACACAGAUGCAGCUGACGCGGGAACUAAAACUCAAGUUACUAAUCAUAGAAAAUUUCAUUCCGCAUGAGGAGAAGAAUAAAGUCAUGAACCGUGCCUAUUUUGAUGAAGAUGAGGACACUUGGAAACUGCAACCUCUUACUAAAUCCAACACACAGACAAUGGCUAAACGGCCAAUAUCAGCUGUUGGCAACCGGCGACCAGUAGCAGAAUAUGCCCGUCUUGGUUCUAUAACUGGAAACCCUCGAUUUAAGGGUGAAAACAUUCUACAAUUACAACUUGAUAUGCCAACAAGAACCACAUCUGAAUAUGAAGGCCCUGUGGUUGCGCCUAGAGUGCAGGCGGCAUUAGAUGCUGCACUAAAGAUGGAACAAGACAUAGACAUAAUUGAGAGUCCUGCAUUAAACAAGAUGAAAGCUAAGAAAAAAGAGAAAAUAUCAAAAGACAGACCAAAGACUGCUGGAGGAGCUAACAAUAACAAAAAAGGAUCUCAACUAUACCCUACAUCUAGAGGUCUUGUCCCCAAGUAGAUUCCCACAUUAACUGCAUUUGCCUGCAUUCCAGUGCCAUCUUAGCCUGCUGUUUGCUGCCCCUUUAAAAAACAGACUGUUUGACUGUUGUCCCCUUUCACACUGAUACUGCAGUGUAAAUCCUCUGUUUUUUGUUUCCUUUUGUUUGGUUUCUGUUUCUCCAGUCCCCCCCCCCCUAUUUAUUUUGUUUUCCUCAUAUUUAUACAUUUAUUUAUUUUUCAUUUUUCCGCCCAAAAUUCCGAGGAAUGAAAACUAAAGCAAGAAAAGUGACUAUCCAAUGCCCUGCGUACUCCUUCACAACAGCUCCCGCCCCCUUCUACUCCUUUCCUCCAUCCAUUACCAACCCCAACCUCAUAAUAAUGACUGGUUGCAAACGUCCUGUUUAUAAAACUCUUCUGGCUUGCUUUCUUCUCCUCCUGUGCCCUCCUCCCCGUAAAUUCUAUUUAUUGUUCCUAGUGUUGCUGUGCUAGAAUCCAUUGACAUUUCUCCCUUCAACAUAGCUUGCCCACAGCAGCAGCAGCAACAGCGGCGGCGGCAGCAGUCAAUGUAGCUGCUGCACCAAGUGUAGCUUGUAUAUAUAUUACACUUUAUUUAUGACUUAGAGCCUCCUCUGCUGUCCAUUUGUCUUCUAGUCUGGGUGCUGCAUUCUUUAUAUCAUAUUUAUGGCCUGCUACAAUGCUGCUGAAAAAAACUACCAGUAUAACUGUUUAUGUGUGUGCACGAGUGAUUGUAUGUGUGUGCAUAUAUGCAUAUUUUUGCAUUAUGUUCAUUUAAUCUAUUAUCAGCUGUAUGACAACUGCUUUGUAAAAUGCACAAAUAUAUAUAUAUAUAUGUAUAUAUAUAUAUAACCAUACCUAUGUGCAUGGACACCUGCCAUAGCCUGAUUCUAUCCAUCUUUCUCUCUCUCUC